rnacentral:lncRNA from 1 species
CUCAUAUAUAAGCAAGGACAAGAAGGAAGUUGCUCUCUUUCUCUUCAUCCUGCUCUCUUCUCUACAGAGCUGUCAUUUGAUCCCAGGAAGAGGACACCAGCGGAAGGCAUCCUUGAUAAGAAAGGCUGACAGAAGAUUAAGAAAUGAGCAAUUGUCAUGUUGGGAUAAGUGGACACUACUGAUGCCAGAAGACUGCUCUCUCUCAAGCAGCUCAAAACCAGCCUGGAGGUAGAGUCAGUGGACCAGAUCAGUGGCCAGGUGUUGAAACAGUUCCUACAGCAGUUCUGAAGCCAGAAUGGACCCUUGAAUUCAUCCCAAAUUGACAAAAGAGAGCCCAGGCCUUUUAAGGGCAGGAGAGCAGCUCUAUGCUAGGUGAACCUGGGAAAGGAGAGGUAUGACCAUGGGCUGGGCGCCCCCUUCAGGAAGCUGAGGCAAUUCCUGCAAUCCUGUCCGAAGAUUUAUAAGGACCUUUGAUGUAUUUCUUCAACAACUGGAAUCACUGUUGCCAAAUAAAGGGUCAGUUAAUCGGAUAAUUCUAAUUCUGUAUUUUGAUCAAGAUCUUGCUUUCCACUGACUUAGUUAGGUCCGUUGAGCUUUGGAGCCACACGCACCCCUUUUGUUGUUAAAUCCCAGAGCUCCUGUUCCCAAGACUGCACCUUUGCAUUUUGAGCACACACUGACUCAGAGACAACUAGGCACGCAUCCCCUCCGGGGUCCUCAUGGGGGAGCUGUCAUCUUCCAACCACAUAACCAUAGCAUGCCAUUGCAGUGGCAACCCCGCAGGCGGGCCCCCCUCUAAAGGCCGCCCAGCCCCCGCGACGCCCCGGCUCAGCUGCAGGCAGCGACACUCCGGAGCCGGCUGCCGGGUUGGGUCUCCUGCUCUCGGCGGGGGAGCAGGAGCGCGCCCGCCCACGCCCACGCCCACGGCCCCCACACUCGUGAGCGCACACCCCGGCGCGCGCACGCCCGCACACCAGGGCGCACGCACAGCACACCGGGGCCACAGACGGGCUCUGAGCGGCUGCGAGUGGGGACGCAGCCGGAUUCCCCUCCAAAGGCGCUGGGACCAACCCGCCCCGCCCCGCCCCUCUAACUCCCCAGUCCGGGCGCAGCUCCGUGGGCUGCAAAGUUUGCAGCGUGAGGCAAUCAAGGGAGCGCGCCGGCGCGGGCUCGGCUGGG